rnacentral:lncRNA from 1 species
UUUCUGGUUUCAGAAUUCACAUCAGAAGGCAACCGCAGCCAAGCUGAGUAGAGCAAGGACUCAUGGACAGUAACAUGAGGAGAGUGGAUGUCAUUCUGCUCACAGUAUCCAGAAAUUCGAGCAAAAGUCUCUUGCUUCUUUGGGUAGCCAGAAAUAGUGAUGUUACCCUCAAUAUAUCCACCGGUUUUCCGACCAGCCAGUACAUCCAUGAGAGUGGUUUUACCAGCACCACUAACACCCAUCAGAGCUGUAAGAACACCAGGCCUGAAAGCACCACUCACCCCUUUCAGAAGCUCCAGUCUGUCUUCAAGGGCACCCUGACUUUUCAUUUCCUGCAAGUUCAUUUCAAACAACUCAGUUCUCAUUUCUGGUUUAUAGUACAUUAUGAAAAAACUUCAGUGCUGCUAAAACAUAUGUCAUCAUUUGAAUAAAUAUGACUUUACCUCUGGCAUGUCAACUGAGUAUCUAAUAUCAUCAAAAGUGAUUGAAUGUGGUUGGAAUGGAAGAACCAUUCCUUUCUUCUUAUUAUGAUUAGCCUCAGCAAUGGCUUCUACCAUUUGCUCUCCCCGCUCUGCAUGUCAAGUUUAAAUUCAGUGAGCCAUAUAAAACAUGUAGUUAAAUGACAAGAAUUGAGUCAUACAAAGGCAUGCAUGCAUGCACCAUGUAUGAGUUUCAUCACCUGUGGUUGCAGUUUUGGCAUUGUCAGACUCUUCUGUUAUAACAGCUUGAGGCUUCUCAAAUACUGAGCAAUUUGCACAAUGUUAGUACACUAAGCUCAUAUUUUUAGGAGUUUCAAUGCAGAGAAGGUACAGAUACCCACGAUUUAGGUAAUUAAGGCAGAGAGUGUAAAAGAUGUUGAAAACAAAUAUGAAUCCAAGCAGUGCCCCAGCUCCUAUCCAGUACCAGUGUGCGUCUGUGAAGAACCCACGAGACUUCAAUACUGUGACUCCAAGGGAUUCUGUUGAAUCGGUGACAUUCUGAAAAAUGGAAAUAAGUACAAUCAUCAGUUACUGACACACAUAAAUAAACACAAAUAUUCACAUGGAACAUUCGAGAACUUACUUUGCUCCAACUCUUCCCAAGGAAUUCAUUUACCACUAUUGCAUUCUGUGCAUACAUCAGAGGGGAAGACCAGUAACCCCAAAUCCACCAUUUCUUGACAUUAUCUGCAGCAUUGACCAAAUAAAAAAGGAAACAAAAAUUCAUUAUCAGGGGUUAUGCACAAGAAGGUUCUACAUUUCCUAAAAAAAUAUUUCCUCAUCAUACCAUAUGACAGGAUAAAACCACCCAAUGCCAAGAGCAUAAGUAAAGCAAAUGCCCCAAAUGUGUUUGCAACAAUCAUGUUUCUACCGGCUGCUGCUAUAAAUCGAAAUAAUCCAGAUGCCAUCUGAUUAACAAGCAAGAGGAGAAGAUACUGUCUAAACAACCUGCAAUAAGGAGAUUUGUUUAUUCAGCAUUGAUCAUUUUGGAACAGAGAAAACAUGUAAAAGAAAUCUGGAUAAGUUUCUGCAACUUCAUAACUUUUUAACUUUACCUUUCCACAUUUGGAUCAAAUCCAAUGACAUAGUAAGUGAUGAACACCCAAACACCAACUUCAACAAAUGUGAUGGGGAUCCUGAGCACCCAUGUGGGAAGAGCAUAUGCCCAUGCAGGAUAGAAGAGAAGGUCUCUUUGCUUGUAAAAGACAGGAAGUUUUGCAAUUGCCAUGGCAAGUUCUGCCAUUCCAUUAAACAUGAUCAUGACAACAGUGAAGAACAAAGCACCCGUGUAAAUGUUUCCAUCAUCUGUUGAAUUUUUGUGCAUCUCAGUUCUUAGGAAGAGUGUCAUUGCAAUCACUGCCAUUACUGCAAGCUAAAAAUAGAAAUAAAAAUAAUAAAUUACAAUCACAUAUACAAAAUUAAAAGCCAUAGUUAUAAGUAGCAAUAAUAAUAAUAAUACUCACUUGGGUGAGUUUGAAAAUAUAAACAAAUGAGUUCCUCUUCAUCAGCAAGUACUCUCUUGACAUGUUGGCAUCCAACAGUUCCUUCUUUCUAACACCAUACUUUUUGGUCGUCAAAGCAGCUGGGUGGCUUUUGGCCCUAUCAAAUGGCGAUGCAAGCUCAUCUGCUACUUUCCGUCCAAUGUGAAAUGACUGGAAUGCCUCAGCAAAUUCUUUGACUGUGACAAAACUGUAAGGCACAUCUUUACGUGCCCAAUACUGGGCCUGAUCUUUUCUAGAUGUUACCUGCAAUGAAUUUUAAAGUUCAUGUUAUAGCUCUGUUUUUUUCUAAAAAUAAAAAAAGGGAAAAAGAUAGAAGAUACCAAAAGCUACAAAGCUAAAUUUGCACUCACUUCUUGCAGGAAGUCUGCCACACCCUUCCUUGCAGGACAUUUGAAGCCCAUGGAUUCAAAAAAUUCAACCACAUCUUCACGAGGACCCUGAUAAACAAUCUGACUAUCAGAUAGGAGAAUGAUGUCAUCAAAAAGAUUGUAAGUCUCAGGUGCUGGCUGGAGGAGAGAGAUGACAGCAGUCCCAUUGAGAAUAUGGAUGGUUUGCUUGAGAGAAUUGAUGAUUUGAUAAGUUGUUGAGCUGUCCAAGCCAGUAGAGAUCUCAUCCAUGAACAGUGCCUUUGAUGGUCCGACCAGCAUCUCACCUAUUAUUCAUACAUUUCACAUAAUUGAAUUAAAUUAAAUUAAUGAACAAAAAAUCUAAUUUGAUUUGUUCUUUCAUUUAGUUAGAAACCAAAUUAUCCCACCUGUUGUGACACGCUUCCUUUGUCCUCCAGAGAUACCCCUUAUCAUCUCAUCUCCUACCAUGGUAUCUGCACAGAUGUCUAGUCCCAGAAUCUGUAGAUUUAAAAGUAAAGAAAAACAAACAAAUCAUGAAUUAGAAUUGGGUUUUCUCAGAAAUCUAUAUGCCAUCAUUGAACGUUUUAUGGUUCUAAUACCUUCAAUGUAUAAUCAGUGACAACAUUUUCCUUCUGACCUUCUGUUGCUGCUGCCUGAAAUAUUGGAAUCCAAUGAUGAAAAUGUCAACCACCAUGGAAGCAACUUCAGUACAUUAAGAAAUUUCAUAGAUAAAAGAUUUUGACAUAGCAUAAAAUUCACAAAUUAGAUUGACUCAAGCCAUUCAUUUGAGUACAAAAAGAAAGAAACAAACUCCAGAACAGACAGAACACCGACAAUACAAAGCCAUUUUGCCCAUCUAUGUCAGAAUUCAAAAUUUAAUUUCUGGAAAAGAGCAGUAUUCAUGUUCACUAAAAGCAAAUAGCUCAAUUUCUGCAGAGCUGAUUAAAAUUUCACUAAAAGUAGAUUCUGUCUCACCUUCAUGAAGACAUCAAGAUCAGGAUCAGGCUUAAUAUUUGCUGCUUUCUCUCUUCUUGACAGCUCUGCUAACAUGUCUGCACAUGGCAAAAAUAAGAGUCAAUCUUCUAGGCUACGGAAAUGUCAUAAAAUUGCAUUCACAACCUGCAAAAAGCAGAGAAAAUAAAAGCAAAGGCAAUGGUUUAGACUAACCAUAUCGAUCUCCAACACCCUGGCAUCUUGCAGAGAAUGCCAAGGUUUCCCUUACAGUCAUUUCUCCUAUAUGGGUAUCAUGUUGGCUGAUAUAGGCUGCAGUUCUCUGGGGUACAAACUCAUUCAUGCCAUGGCCGUUGUAUGUCACCCUUCCCAUAACCUAAAGAAGGAAUUUCAGUUUUGAAAUUGGAUAUGAGAUUAAAGAAAUAAAAAAUUAAACAUUCCAUAAAGAAUGGAGGAGUAAUAAUCAUUUUCUCUCAACCUUUAGAUUGGGAUCAAGCUUGCCAGCCAAUGCCAAUAAGAGGGUGGUCUUUCCAGAACUUGGAGGACCUAAAAGCAAAGUCAAUCUGCAGAAGAAAAAUAUGCACAAAAAUCUUGAGUAUGGAUCUUCGGGACAUUCUAACUUUGAAGAACGAAAAAAUCAUUUGAGUUAUCGAUCCAUUUUUUACUAGAAACAAAUUCAUUCUCACCUGCGUGGUUUGAUGGUUCCACUAACAUCAUUGAGAAUAGUGAAUUUCCUCUUUUUACUUGGAAGAAUGCGCACAGCGUUCAGGAUACCCUUUGGAAAAGAAGGGAAAAUUAGAUCUAAAAACAAACUUACUUAAAAGAAUACUGAGUACAUAAGUAAUGAUCAGCAUUUGCAUGUAGUUACCUCAAGUUUACUAAAAAUGAAAUUAUGGAAUGAAGGCAAAGCUCUGCUUCCUACAAAAGCUUCUGCAUCGAUGGUAAGAUGCUCAAAUCUAACUUCAAUUUCGGGAACAUCUAUUCCAACUCUGAAAAAAAUGGAAGAAUCAUAAAAACCCAUUAUCAAAAAUUCAAAGGAAGAUGUUGCUUGGCUGUGGAGAAAAUGUGGGAAACACUCAUGAGGCAUAUUUCAGGUCAAGUUUUCAUUUUUUUUCCUCUUUAUGUUCUUCUGUUUUCAAUGUUCAAAAACAAAUGGCAAGGAAUGCAAGAAAGGAGAAGAAAUCUCACCUAUCGAUACGAUUCUUGAGCUUCAACAAGAACUUCUCAUUGUCCUCUUCAGCGACUUUUACCAACCGCUCCACUAAAUUCUUCUUCUCCUGAAACCCAAGGUUAUGGAUAUCAAUUUCACUGGCCUCGCCCUCGGAUCCCAUCAGCAAACCUCUCCUCAACCGAUUGUAGGUGGGAAGUUUCUCGAGUGCGGCCCAUUUCAAAGCUUCCUCAUCAUCCUCAUCCCUCGAAGAUCGGGAGAAAAUAUCCGCACCGGAGCUCCUCCAUAUCGAAGAACCGUUCCUCCUUAAACUACCACUGGCUCUAUAAAUGUCAGCAGUGGCCAUUGCAACCUGAAACGAAGAACCCUCCUGCAAGACCAACCAAAACCCACAAAAACCCAGAAAUCUUUCCUCAAAAGUCUGAGAAAGAAGCUCAGAGUUUUGAACCCUGGAGCCCAAAGAAGCUAAAAAUCAGAUACGCGUCCCCUUCCUCCCUUUUCUCUGCAUACCUUUGAACUGCUAAUACUUGAUGCCUUCAGAAUGGAGGGUUUAUAUAGGUGAUGGGUUGAACAGACCCUCAAGUUUUCUAACUUCUUGGUUUCCUAUGACUUUUCCUUAAAAAAAAUUAGCGGGGAAAUUGAAUAUAUAAGCUGCUGGGUAACGAUUCCAACGACUUUGACCCGUCAAAUUCUUAAAUAAAACACUUCUAGAGUUUCCCAAUGGGAACGCGAUCUGUUUAAAGCUUCCCACCGGCCAAAUGAACAAACUUUUUCCUUCCAACUGUUGGGUCCAGGAAGGUUCCUAGUGGACCCAAAUCCUCCAAAACUAUAUAUAUAUAUUUGGCAUUUUUUUUAACGGAUUAAAUACAUUUUUCCCGGCUUUUGCACAUAUGUCUUCUGACGACUUUACGGAAAAUCCUUGGAGAAUUGUCCUUCUAGACGUUCUAAAACGGUAAUGUUUUGGUCAAACGGAAAGUCAACCAUGGAAAAUAAAGGUUUAACAGAUAGAUAACAAUGAUGUUUUUUUUUGUGCGCAUACCCUCUGACCUCACGAACACGCACGUUUCUAGAUUUCCUUGACCUUGUGAACACGCACGUUUCUAGAUUUCCUUUACCUUAUGAAUACGCACGUUUCAAUCUAUAGUAAUGAGUACGAGUAUAGAUUACUUUAAGUGGAAAAAUUUUCUAAAUGCUCAAGAGUUUGAUAAUAAUUUUAUAUUUCACAUUAUAUAAAUCAAACUUCCCUUUUAAAACACUCAUCUUCUUAUCUCUUUCAAAAAAAAAAAAUUGAGUUGAUAUCAACAAUCAAAAAUAAAUUUAAAAAUUUUUAAAUUAAAAAUAUAAUUAAAAUUUAAAAUAUAUAAAAAAAAAUAUUCACCCCAACUACAUUUUCAACGCUUUCUUAUUAUAUAUAUUUAUAAAUCCCAAAGAUUAUCUCAAUUUUAUUUUUAUAUUUUGACCUCAAUUUUGUUAAUAAAUUUUAAAUCUUAAUAACAUGUGUUUUUUUGGCCCACUCACCCUUUAAUUUUAAUUUUUAUUAUUUUAUAUUUUUUUAUUUUAUUAUUAUUAUUACUUACUACUACUACUAUUAUUAUUAUUAUUAUUAUUAUUAUUAUUAUUAUUAUUAUGUUUUAUUUUAUUUUUUUAUUUUUUUCUUUCUUUUCUCUCUCCUCUCUCUUCUCUCUUCCUACUCUCCAACUACCCCACCCACUGUCUCUCUCUCUCCUCCCAUACCCCUCAUCCCACAACCAUACCCCGAUUACCCCCCUCCUCCUCCUCCCAUUCAUUCUUCUACUAUGGCUGGCCUCCCAUUCCCCUUUCUUUUUUUUUUUUCUUUUUUUUCUUUCUUCUGCUUCUCACCCUAGGACACACGCACAGCCGGCCCAUUUUUCCCCCAUUCUCACCGGAUUCCAGAUAUUUUUCCUCUUCUCGGCUGACUCCCACAGUAGUCAACAACCCUAUCUCCCCACUCCGUUUCUCAGCUCUUUCCCCAUUUUUCCUUCACUCCACAGACGACCAUAGCUGGCUCCCCAGUUUUCUUGAUUUUUUUUAUUUUUAUUUAUUUUUAUUUUUAUUUUGGCUACCCAAACACCACAUCUCGUCGACCCCGAUUCUCUUCUUCCUAUUUUUUCUCUCAUUUUCUCCAUUUUUUUCUCAUCUCUCUCCUUACUCACUCUCACAUGAUUGGAGCCCCCCAUUUUCUUCUUCCCCAUUUUUCAUUUUUGUUCUCUAUCCAAACACCCACUUGCAGAGACACAGGCUGACCCAUUUCUUCUCUUCCAUUUUUAUUUUUAUUUUUUAGUAUCUCCCUUUUUUUUAUUAUUAUUAUUAUUAUUAUUAUUAUUAUUAUUAUUAUUUGUUUUUGUCUUUCAAAAACACCAUCAACCCUCAUUGCGCCGGUCGGCGACCCCCUCUCAUUUCCUCUCAUUCCGUCACUUUCCUAUCCCACUCACUUUCCAUUACUAUUAUUAUUGUUAUUAUUUUUUAUUUGAUUUUAUAAAUAAAAUUGAAUAAUGAUAAAUAAAAUUGAAUAUAAUAAUAAUUGUUAUUAUUAUUGUAUAUAAUAAUAGUAAUAACAAUGAUAAAUAAAAAAUAAAUAAAUAAACAAAAGAUAAAUAUUGAGAAAGAGUUGAAAAUGCAUUAAGAGUUAACAUAUAUAUCAUUUCUAGGAUUAAAGUUUUUUUUUUUUUUUUUACUUUUUAUUGUAUUUUUUAUUUUUAAAAUCUUUUAUUUUAUUGUUUAGGCCAACCAACAAAAUUUUUAUUCAAUUUUUUUUAAAAGAGAUAAGAAGAUGGGAUGUUUUAAUCAAGAAUACUUGAUUUAUAUAAUGCAAAAUAUAAAAUUAUUAUGGGAGGAUUUUUCCACAUUGACUUGCAAUCAAUAUUAUAUAAUUAAUAAAUUAAUAAAUAUAUUUGUUAGUAAGAUAAUUUUAAUAAAUUUAUAAAUAUAUUUAUUAGCAAGAUAAUUUUAAUAAAUUAAUAUGAGAAAUCAAUUUUAUGAUAAUUUUAUUUAUUAUUGUCAAAUUUUUAGUAUCUAAAUUUUUAGGAGAGAUCAUUAAGAGGAUCUAGUUUUGCAUGAUUUUAAUAUUUGAUCCCUAGUUUUAUUACUAAAUAUGAGAUUAUGGUUCUAGGAAAAAAAAAAUUCUAAUGUUAGAAAUUUGAAAAUAUAUAUAUAAUUACUAGUCAUUAUGCAUUUAAUGCAUUGACAGAUGAUCACUUAGGCUUACAUCCUUAAUCAGUUGAGCAAUCAAUUUGACGGAAACUCAACUAGUCAAAGCUUUAACUACUAGAAAAGAGAAAAAUAACAAAUGUGUCUUGAUUUAUCAAGUCUAACCUAUUCAACAGAUUCCUCAACUCCUCAAUCGUAAAUGGCAUGGUUUAAGGUCUAAAACCUCCAAUAACUUACGUUAACCUUCUUAAAACUUUUCAAGAUAAAUUUAAAAGUAAUUUAGUUCAAGGUUUUAAUUGAAAAUAAAAAAUCGUCCAAUUCUUUGAUAUAUGUAUAAAUGAUCUUAAUUUUACACAACAUUUUAGGUUAAUUUAAGUCUUCAAGGAUCCUAAGUCUUCCAUGAUUGCUUGAGCUUUCUUUGGAUUUUCAAUAGUAAACUUAAAACUUAAUUUGAUUUAAACUAUUAGUAAUUUUAACUUUAUUUUGUAAUUAUAAUUAAAAAAACCUAUUAGGAGAAUCCUUGGGCUAAUAGUCUUGAUGUUUGAUCUUUAAGAUUAUUCAAUUCCAAAAAGAAAUGGGAGGAUCAAGGAUUUUUGUUGGUUGAAGGAGAGUGAGAGGGGCUAGCCAUGUCAAACAACACACUUUUGAUGCCUUUUGAUAAGGGUUAUAAUUGGUUAAAUUGGUCAAAAUAACCUCAAUAUUUGCAAAUUUAACCCACCUAUCAAAAAGUUAAAAAAUAAAAAUAAAUAAAUUGUUGAUUGAGACAAAAAUGCCCUUCCUUUUAUUUCCCUCCAACACUUACAACUUCUCAUCUUCUACUUCAUUUAACCUUCUACAAAAAAAACUCAUCAUCUUUUUCUUCAAAAACCAUAAAAAAAUUCUCAUCAUUUUCUUCUACUUCAUUAUCUUCUUUUGGUGUAUAGAAAGGAAAGCUUAUCUUCUAUUCUGCUUCAUUUAUAGAACAACUUCUCAUCUUUUAUCUUCUUAUUUAUUUCAUUCUCUCCAUUUGGUGCAUAGAACGGAAAGCUCAUCUUUCCUUUAGAAGCCCUAGAAAAUUUCUCGUCUAUCAUCUCAUUCUCUAUUUCAUUCCCAAUCCUUAGAAAAAUUAUCUCAUCUCAUUUUAUCCUCUAGUCUAUCCUCUUAUCCUCUCAUCUUUUUGUCAAGGUAUCUCAUAUUGUAUCUUCAAGCACGAUAAAAAAAUAAGUUCAUUGAAGAGUGAUAAGAGAAAAAGAUUAAAAAUGGUGGUGAAAAAUCAAAAAUCACAAUUGCGAAUAGAAAAAGCAAAAAUUGUGACUAUGAACUUAACUGUGGUUAAGUACUUUAUUAAUGCAACUCAACUAUUGUUAAGUUCAAGUGAAAAUUCCGACUAUGAACUUAACCGUGGUUGAGUUAUUUGUUAAUGCAACUCAACCACUAUUAAGCUCAGGUGAAAAUUCUAACUGUGAACUUAACUGUGGUUAAGUUAUUUGUUAAUGUAACUCAACCAUUGUUAAAUUCAAGUGAAAAUUCUGAUUGUGAACUUAACUUUGGUUAAGUUAUUUGUUAAUGCAACUUAAUAAUAAUUAAAUUUAUAUUAAUGCAAUGACCGUUAACUUAACCAUAAUUAAACUUAAUCAAUUAAUUUAUAUGAUAAAACUAAAACAUUAAUUUAAAAUUUCAAUCUAUAAUUCAAAAAAAUUGCUUUAAGCAUAUACAAAAAAAUAAGCUCACAAAUCCCUUCAUGACCCUAUAUAGAAAAAUAAAUAAAUAAAAAUGUAGAUACAUAGUUAAAUCAUCCUUAAAAAACAAAUUCUAUUGUAGCAUUAUUAAAGUGACUGAUGAAUUGGUUGUAAGGGAAAUUCAUGGAUGUUGAUAUUGCUCUCAACAAUAUUGACACAACUAUAUUCAUCUCUAGGAUGUAAUAGGAUUGAUCGUUCGCAUGUUUUUCGAUUAUGCUCAUAAUCACCACAUCUACCACAACAUCAUGUGUGCUUAACCUCUCCACUUGAAUGAAUUCUCUCCUUUCUUGGUCUUCCUACUGGUCGUCAACUUUUUAAAGGUAGCACAACUCUACAAUGAAUGUCUUCCUGAAUGCAAUACACAACUCUCAUUAAUUCAUGAUAUGAUAUAUUCUUCUUCACCAUAAGGUCUUUACCUUCAUUUCCUUUAAAGUGGUAUAUGUUCUCAUCUGAUACCUAAUUCCCUUUAUACAAAAGCAUUAUUCAUACCUCAUCAAUGACUGCAAAAAUAAAUAUUUCAAAUUAUCAUAUUAAGAAUGAAAUAGUACAACAUAUGAAAUACUUUUAUUAAGUUUCAAUUAUAGACUAUGUAAUGAAUCUUAAAACAUAUAUUUAUAUUUUUAUUAGAUAACCCACUACAUAAUAAUAUGUCAACAAUUCAAUCUUAGUUUUCAAUAUAGUUAUAUAAAAAUAGACUUUUGCUUUGAAUAGCAACACAUAAACUCAACUUAUGUUAAGUUAAAUCUAAAAAAUAGUAAAAUUUGUUGUUCAAUGCAGCAAUGCAACACUUCCCAUAAAUCAAAUAUCCAAAGGAACAAUAUAUAACUACAAUAGGUAUUAAUCAUAUGAGCAAUACUAAAACCAUAAUAAUUUUUCAUGCAUGUGAUUUAUUGCUUACCAUCAUUUGACCUUGUCAUAUGGAUAAAUCUUUUUAACUUCUUUUGAAUGAACUUUUCACUUUUUCAUAACUAAUAAUGGAGUCUCUAUUUUCUACCUACAAUGGUGAAGUGAGGUUUUGAAUUUUUAGAAAACAGAAAGAAAUAAAAUGAUAAUCUAAAAAAGAAAUUGUUGGUUGCUUACAUUUUUUUUUUUCAUUUUAUCGUGAUCAAGAAUGAAGAAUAAAUGAAACAAUGGUAAGAACUUAGGCUUGUUCGCUACAGGAAAACAAAGAGAAGGAGCAACCAAUGAUUGAAUAAAAAAAUAAAAACCUAAUCUACUAUAAAAAUAGAACAAAAGGGAAAGUUAUAUUGGAGGGAAAAAUGAGGGGUAUUUUUGUUUCAAUUAGGUCAACUUUUUUGCCUUUUAAGGGGUGGGUUAUAUUUGCAAAUAUGGGUGUUAUUUUGACUCGUAUAACCAAAUAAACCUUUUAAAAAGGGUGACCAUGGUAUGAUGACCCUUUCUCCUUUCCUUUUGGUUUAUUUUCAUUUCAUGGCCACUUAUUAAGAUGAGUGUUAUUCAAUAGAUCACCGUAUGUUCUUCCAAAUAAAUCAUUCCGACCUGUCUAAGCUUUGAAGAUUUUGUAACUCCAACUUGGAAUCUCCUAGAAGCAUUAAAGAUUCUUAUGCUUCCCCAAAGGAAGAUAAUAGCUACAAGGGAAGUUUCCUAGUCUAAAAUGAAAUAUAAGAAGGGACCUGUCACUUCAUCUUUGAGGUUUGGACAUGAUGGAGGCAACAUUUUGUUUGGUUGGGGAGAAAAUGUAGGAAACACCUAUCAGGCAAACUCACCUAUCCAUACGAUUCUUGAGCUUUAACAAGAACUUCUCAUUGUUCUCUUCAACAAUUUUUAUCAACCGCUCCACUAAAUUCUUCUUGUCCUGAAGCCAAAGGUUGUGUAUAUCAACUUCAAAGCCCUCACCCUCUGAUCCCAGCAACAAACCUUUCCUCAACCGAUUGUAGGUGGGGAGUUUCUCGAGUGCAGCCCAUUUCAAAGCAUCCUCGUCAUCCUCACCCCUCGUAGAUUGGGAGAAAAUCUCGACAUUAGGGGUCCUCCAUCUCAUAGAACCAGCUCUACGAGUUUUAGGAGUCGACAUUGCAAGUAGAAAGGAAGAACUCUCUUGCAAAACCAACAAGAACUUGGCAAAACCCGAACGGUUGAAAUUAUAAUCCGAGCUAAAGUCAAACUAAAAGAAUUUUAGGAAUUUGAUAAAUAUUAAAAUUGUUAUUUAUUUAGAUUUUUAUGUUAAUUAAGACUUUUGGUAUAAUAGCAAUUGGAGUCUUGGUACAUUGGUUUAUUAUAAGUUAUCAUGUUGAAAAGAAAAAAUGCAAUAAAGUAUUAUUUUAGCAAAAAUAUUAUUAAUACUCAAUUGUGUGGGUUCCAACUGAAACCUUUCCAAAGAAUAUAAACUCCUUUUUCUCUCUCUUAGUACAAUGUUAUGUCUUGUUGUAUUGCUACUACUGCAUUGUAAAAAUCAUAUAGAAUGGAAGGUUUAUGUAGUUAUUGGUAGGACAGAAAAUGAAGCGGUUCAAAAGAUUUGAAACUAGUUUAUUUUCUUGUGAUUCUUUAAGCUAUGUUUGGUUUAUGGAAAGUAGUAAGGAAAGAAAAAAAAGUGUUAAGAAAAAUGGUUUUUUUAUGUUUAGUUUCAUAAUGAAAAAUAAAAAAGAAAAUAAAAUAUAAUUAAAAUUUGUUAAAAAUUUAUAUAUUUUAAAAUUAUUUAAUCUUUGUAUAAUAGUCGAAAAUAAGUAAAAUAACUUUGAAGAAAUAUAUUGAAGUAAUUUAUUAAAUUUAAAUUUAUUUAAAUUUUCUUCAUUUUUUUUUCUUUCUACUUUUCCUCUUUAUUUUUUUUCCUUCACAUUUUUUCUCAUAUUUUUUGGGAACCAAACAUAGCCUAGAAAAUUAGUGAGGGAAAUCGACUAUAAAAAAGUUUGUGCAAUGACUCCAUAAUAUUGUACGCAUGCCACCAUUUUUUUUUUCCUUUCAACUUCCUAUAUUAAGACUUUCACGGUUCAUAAUUUUUGGUUUCUUACACUUUCUUUAGCAAGUAAACAAAAAUGUGAAUUAUUGAAUGUUUUGUUAGUUUUUAAAAUAAGAAAUAUAAUACUCAAUUUUAUACAUGUUUUCAGGCAUGUUUGGUAUGUAAGUUAUGAUAGGAUAGAGUAUCUAUAUUCUAUAAUAUCAAAUAUGCAUUAAAUGAAAAAUGCAUAUUUUAAACUAUAAUUUCAAUGAGAUAUGAUAUAUUUUUUAUAUUAAAUCCAAUAUGAUAUUGUAAGAUGACAUAUCCAAUGCAUUUCCUAAAAUAAAUGAUUUCCAUAUAUUUUUUAAGAUUAUUAAAUCCAAUGGAUAUAAUAUUCUAAGGUAACAUAUCUAAUGAGAUAGGUAAUGUAACAUUAUGCUUAUAUUUAAUUUGUAAAAUGAAUAAAAAAUAAAAUGGAUUAUAUAUUAUUUUAUAACAUAUCUUCUAUUUUAACCAUAAAUUUAACUUUGCAAUAAAAAAAAAUAUUUUACUAAAUAAGUGAUAAAAAAUAAAAAAAUAAUAAAAGAAAAAUAAAUUUAUGAUACAUAGAAUAAUAUAUCUCACUACUUAUCCGAUGUAGAAGGAAUAUAAAAAAGAUAUAGAUAAUAUAUAUCACUACUUAUUCUACCAUAUGUUCCAUCCACCCAACCAAACCAUGACCUUACGAUAUAAAAAAAUUAAAGUUUAAUAGCAUCCACAUUAAUAAAAACAAACAAUUUACGAAUAUAAACCAAACAAUCAAACACUCAAAUGAUAUUUCGCUCUAUUUAGACUAAUGAAAAAUAAACAAUUUAAAUAUUAAAAAACAUUCCACUUUAUUAAGCUUUAAGGUUAGAAUCUUAAAAAAAAGUUGCUUUAAGAAUAUUUUUUAGAGUUAUUUCAAAGGAAUGGAAUUAUUUGUUUUUUUUUUUUUUUCAUUUAUGUCGUAAAGCAAAUUAUUUUAAAAUUUAAAAUCAAAAUAUAAAAAUUUUAUUUUUUAUAUUAAGAUAAAAUUGUCUUAUAAAAAGUAACAAGUUAAAAAACAAAUAAUUUUUAUAAUGACUUAAGUCUUAACACUAUUAAGCAUUAUUUAGAUAUAAGGUUUAUUUAAUUUUUUUUUUUAUAAAAAAAUACCAUCUUUCACAUAAGAUUUAAGUAGGUUUAACCUAUUCGAAAUUGCUUGAAAUCUAAGAGGUUAUUUGUUUUUUAAACUUAAAUCUUAAAGCUAGUUGCUUUAAAAUUUAAGAUAAAACUAAAUAAAAUAAAAUAAAAUAAAAACUUUUGUUAUUAAGACAAAAUUUUCUUUUAAAAAUGAUAAACUAAAAAGAUAAUUUGAAAAAUGACUUCCAUCUUAAAGCAACUCUUUUUAUUAGGAUUCCAUGUCUAUCCUAAUUAAAAUUAAUAAUCAACUUGAUUUUGAGUAAGUUUAUAUUAUUGUUAACCGACAUUAUUUUUCAAUAAAAGCAUUUGCGAAAACAUAAACACAUUUAUGCUUCAAUAAAUGGAAUACAUUUUUUAGUAAUAUAACCAUACUUUAUUUAAAAAAAAAAACAUAUUAGUCUAAUAAUCGAUAUUCAUAAUUGAUAAUAUCAUAUAUUAAAAAUUAUGAACGGUGAAUAACUAAUAUAUAUGGAUUAUUAAAGUAACGAUGAGCAUACAACCUAUGUAACUUGGUGAAAACUUUUUUGUCCAUCUGUUUUUGCUUUGCUUAUUAAAAAAUAAAUUAUUAAAGCAAUAAUGAGCAUAAAAAUUAAUUAAAACAAUAACUAUCACUCAAAUGAAGUAUUAUAGGCUCUAUUGAUAAUUGUUUUUAAAAACAAUUUUUAUUCUCCAGAAUAAAAAAACAAUGAAACAAGUUUGAUAAUAGAAAACAAAAAACAUUUUAUUGUUUUUUUUUAUAAAAAAAAGACAUUGUUUUUUCAAUCCUUUAAUUGUUUUCACUUUUUUUAAGGAUUACUAAAAAAAAUUAACCAAAUGAUUAAAAAUAAAACACUACAUGUAAAAAUUAUUUUAAACCAUAUUUAAAAAUAUAGAAAAUAGGUUAAAAAUAUUUUAGAUUUUUAAAUAGACUUUUGUUUUAUAAAAAAUCAAAUAACAAUUUUCAAAAAUUAUUUUUAAAAAUUGUUUUCAAAAAAACAUUUUUCAUAUAGAACCCUAUCCUACCAACUAUAUAUAUAUAUAUAUAUAUAUAUAUUCACACAAUGCUAAUGCUAUGAAAAGGUAAUGAUAAUAGAGAGUAGAGAAGAACUUACUAAAUUGAAGAUCGAACAAGUCUUAGAAAAACAUUGUCAGUAAGACAUGGGAUGAGAACGAUUUCAUAUAGCUACUGAGAUUGUCCUCAAAGUUACAGCUAGUAAAAUUGUCCUCAAAGUUGUUCUUCAAAAACAAAAAUACUAUAAAUGGUUGGAUCCAACCUUUCAAGGAAACCAAAGCCUUUUUUUUUGAUAAAGAGAUUUUUUUUUUCCCUUCUAAAAUGAACAUUCUAUAUAUAGAAUCUGAAGGUAUUAAACUGUGCCUCCAAGUAGUUUGACUGUAAAGUAAAAUUCAAUCCUAUGUGUUGAUUGUUCUUGUGGUUUGCUAAUUGGUCAGGCAAUCGAUCUUUCCUCAAGUGGUUUCCAUAUUAUCAUUUUUCAUCUUUUUCCUCAUCAUUUUUAUCCUUUUCCAUAAGUAAAAAAAUAUUUAAAUAAAUUAUUUCAUUAGCAAUUUGUUGAAUACUUGAAAAUAAAUUAAAUAAGAGAAGUAUUCACAUAUUUUUUACUUAAUUAGUCAUGAUGACAUUAAUAAUGAGAGUAAGGUAUAACCAAAUAAGACUAAGAUAGGAAAAAAAUGAGACCAAAAAAUUUGUCUCUAAAAGGUAUGAAAAAUUGAGAAUCAAAUAUGAAUUCAGGAGAUAUAGGUAUAAAUUUAACAAUAAAAAUGUUAAUUAUGCUUAAAUGUAUGAAUUUAAGAAAAUCUUAAAUUUUGCUCAUAAUUAUUCAUGAUCACGUCAAAUUUAUAUAUAGGAAUGGUUGANNNNNNNNNNNNNNNNNNNNNNNNNNNNNNNNNNNNNNNNNNNNNNNNNNNNNNNNNNNNNNNNNNNNNNNNNNNNNNNNNNNNNNNNNNNNNNNNNNNNAGCAAUGCAUAACCAAAUGGUACUAAGAUAGGAAAUAAUGAGACCAAAGAACUUGUCUUUAAAAGGUAUGAAAAAAUAAGAUUCAAAUACCAAUUAACUAGAUAUAGGUAUAAAUUUAAUAGGAGAAAUAUUAAAUACGCUUAAGGUUAUGUUUGGUUCCAGGAAACUAUUAAGAAAAGAAAAAAAAAUAUAAAGGAAAAUUAUUUUCUGUUUGAUUGUUUUAUGAAAAAUAUAAAAGAAAAUCAAAUAUAAUUAAAAUAAACAGAAUGAGUUUAAAGUUAUAAAUAAAAAUAAUUUAUCGACUUUUAAUUCUUUCGUAUUUUCCCACAAAUUUUCAUGGAACCAAACAUAGCAUAAAUGUAUGAAUUUAGGAAAAUAAAAAAUUUUGGCCAUAAUUUUUCAUCAUUUCAUCAAAUAUAUAUAGGAAUGGUUGAAAAUAAUGAGAGCAAUGUAUAACCAAAUGAUAUUAAGAAAAUAAUGAAAUCAAAUAAUUUGUCACUAAAAGGUACUGAAAAUGAGAGUCAAAUAUGAAUUUAUGAAAUACAAGUAUAAAUUUAAUAAGAGAAAUCCUAGUAAUGCUUAAAUAUGUGAAUUUUAGAAAUUCUAAAAUUUUGACCAUAAUUAUUCUCACAUCAAAUAUAUAUAUAUAUAGGAAUUGUUGAAAAUAAUGAAACCAAAAAAUUUGUCUCUAAAAAGUACCAAGAAAUGAGAAUCAAAUAUGAAUUAAUCAAAUAUAAGUAAAUUUAGUUAGAGAAAUAUUAACAAUGCUUAAAGAUAUGAAUUUAAGAAAAUCUAAAAUUUUAACCAUAAUUAUUCAUGAUUACAUUAAAUAUAUAUAGGAAGGGUCGAAAAUAAUGAGAGCAAUGUAUAAGCAACUGGGACUAAGAAAAUAAUGAAACAAAAAAAUUUGUCUCUAAAAGGUAUGAAAAAAUGAGAGUAAAAUUAUGAAUUAAUGAGAUAUAGGGAUGAAUUUAACAAGAGAAAUAUUAAUAAUGCUUAAAUAUAUGAAUUUAAGAAAAUCUAAAAUUUUGGUCAUAAUUAUUCAUAAUCACAUCAAAUAUAUAUAGUGAUGGGUGAAAAUAAUGAGAUCAAUGUAUAACCAAAUGAGACUAAGAUAGAAAAUAAUAAAACUAAAAAAAUUCUCUAAAAUGUAUGAAAAAAAUGAGGUUAAAUAUGAAUUAACAUAUGUAAAAAUUUAAUUAGAAAAAUAUUGACAAUCUUAAGUAUGUGAAUUUAAGAAAAUCUAAAAUUUUGACCACAAUUAUUCAUGAUCACAUCAAAUAUAUAUAGGAACGGUUGAAAAUAAUGAAAGGUAUAAUCAAAUGAGACUAAGAUAGAAAAUAAUGAAACCAAAGAAUUUGUCUUUAAAAGUUACAAAAAUAAAAAAAAAUGAGAGUCAAAUGUGAAUUAAUGAGAUGUUGGUAUAAAUUUAAUCAGAGAAAUAUUAAUAAUGCUUAAGCAUAUGAAUUUAAGAAAAUCUAAAAUUUUGGUCAUAAUUAUUCAUUAUCACAUCAAAAUAGGACGCUUGAAAAUAAUGAGAGCAAGGUAUAAUCAUACGAGACUAUGAUUAUCAAACUACUUCAAAAUCAAAAUCCUUAAUAGAAUCAAAUCAUCAAGAUGAUGUUAGUCUUUUUCAAAACAUUGAAGAAAAUCUAAGCCAAAGUUCCAAUGACCAAGAAAUAUGCAUAAAAGAUAGUUGCCGACCAAAGACCUUAAAAGUAAUCACUAAGGAAUAAGAAUUGAUUUUAGAAUUACUUAUUAAGGUUAAAGAUUCUUCAAUAAGAACAUAAUUAUGUGAAAUUUGUAAGAAAUCGAUUUCUAAACUAGAAAUGAAAAAAAAACUAUAAAACCUUAUAACUUCGAUGAAAUAUUGACAAGAUUUAACUAUAAUUCCCUAAAAAAGUGAUUAUUAAAGAUCUUCAAUAGGAAAUAAGAUGAUGUUAGAAGUUAGAGAAUUAAGACAAUGCACCAACAUAUGUUUAACAAACCUUCAAGAACAAAUUAAUUAGAUAGUAAGUAACAAGAAUUAAUUUAUCCUAAAAUCCUUAUAAGUUAAUGAAGAUUUAUCACACUUAUAUCUCAAUGUUAUAAAUAGGGUCAUCUUUAAAAAAAUGCAAUGUUUCCCUAACAAUUGUGAUUAACAAUGAGUUCAUCGCUAAGAUUAAUUGUUGUCUUAAUAGAUUCAAGAGUAGCUUCUUUAUGACAUGCUAUUAGGUCAAACUUAAGAUUAGCUACAAAUUGUCUAAGGCUCAUAUCAAUAAUCAAGGGAUAUGCACACAACAUUUAAUUUGGUAUAAGAUUUAAGAGAGAAAUAUCCUUGGAAUACCCUUUUUAAUUGUCUACCCUAUCACUAGAGUAGAUGGUAAAGGUAUAAGACUAAACUCUUAAAUCAAGAGACUCUUUUUGAAUUUGCAUAUCCUCUAAAAAGAAACCUAAAUAAAUUAAGAUCCUUGAUUAUUUCUAAAAAAAUAUAGGCUAAGGAUAAUCAUAUCAAUUUUUUAGUUCAAGAAGUUAGAUAUAAGAGAAUUGAAGAACAAUUGGAAGUUAAAAAGACUCAAGAUGCUAUCCAAUAAUUCAAAGAAAAGUUGGUUAGAGAAGUCCAUCCUAAAUUCCCUAAUGUAUUUUGGCAUAGGAAUGAACAUGUAAUAGAACUACCUUACAACCUAGAAUUUAGGGAAAAUGAUAUUCCCACUAAGGCAAGACCAAUUCAAAUGAUUCAAAAACCAUUGAGAUAUUAUGAAAAGGAAAUUUAAGAACUCUUUGAUAAAAAAUUAAUAAAGAAUCCAAAUCUCCUUGAAGUUGUGUAUGCGCAAAUUUCGUGAAGUCUUGCAAAACAACCAAAAACUAUAGGAAAAAUCUAUGUGAUCAAAACUUUAUAUUGAAAUUAAUUGAUUGUGCGGUAUAGACUCAAAUAUAAUAUUCUUUACAAAAAAAUAUUUUCCCUUUGAUUCAUUCACUUUGAUUACAAUCCCAAAGAUGAUGACAAGAGUCUUUUCUUGAUUAUUUUAGAAAAUCAAUCCAAGGCUUAGAGUGGUUUUUUCUUGAAUGAACUUGUUAAAUGGUGAAAAACACGUUUAUGCAUUUUCUCAUACUUGCAGGGAGAUUUUAUAAUAAUAAUAAAAAAAUUCUUUGUAAAGCUUUUUUUCCUAUGUGAAGUCCUUUUGCCAAUCUCUCUUUUCCUUGAAAGAAGUCACCUUUAUUUAUAGGUGAAGAUAGGAAAUUAAAUUUUGAAUUUCAAGAUUUGAUUACUUCAUUCAAGGAAUUUGGUUCCUUGAUUAUUUUCAUAACUUUUCUCCUUCCUCACUAAAGUUUUGUCAACAAGAUAAUAUCUAUUAUUUGGUUGGAGAUUUUUGUUCCCCUUUUUUUAGGAAACUUGUUAAAAAGAGAAUAUCUAUUUCUACUUCUCUUCGAUUAGAAGACUUAAUUUCAUAGUCUUCCAAAUUUUACUACGUGUUACCUUCAAAGUUGCAUGCCACAUGUCUAAUGACUUGUCAAGCCUAAAUUUUGUUGAAAUAUGAAGUUACAAUUUUGAAGUCCGAUUUAAUGGUAAUUUAAUCCACUAAAAAUUUGGAUAGCUACAAAUUUCUCUAUUGUUUAUGUUAAAAAACAAACAAAAUUUGAAAGAGGAACACCUAGGCUUGUGAAUAAUUACAAACCCCUUAAUGAAGCCUUAAGAUGGAUUAGGUAUCAUAUUCCAAAUAAGAGAGACCUUCUUCAAAGAUUAGUUAAUUAGUCUAGGAUAUUCUUUAAGUUUGACGUGAAAUCAAGCUUUUUUGGCAAAUCCAGAUCAUAGAAAAAAAACAUGUAUAAAACAACUUUUACAAUACCAUUUGGACAUUAUGAAUGGAAUUUAGUAUCAUUUGGUAUUAAAAAUGUCCUCUCAUAAUUUCAAAACAUUAUGAGGCAACUGUCCUAAUGAUGAACUCAUUGUUAAUUACAAUUGUUAGGAAAAUAUUUCAUUUUUGAAAGAUGAUCCUAUUUAUAACAUUGAGAUACGAGUCUGAUAAACCUUCAUUGACUUUUGAGGAUUCUAAGAUAUCUUGAUUUUUAUUACUUAAGAUCUUAUUAAUUUGUUCUUGAAGGUCACUUAAACUUAUAUUGGUGUAUUGUCUUAAUUCUUGAACCUCUAUGUGUGCGUGCGUGCGUGUUCUCAUAACAAUUGCAGCAGCUCUUGCAUCUAGCCCUGAAGUUGGCUCAUCCAUGAAUAUUAUUGAGGGAUUUGCCACAAGCUCAACUGCAAUGGUCAGCCUCUUGCGCUGCUCAGUUGAGAGACCAUUUACACCUGGCAACCCAACUAGUGUGUCCCUCAAUGGGGUCAGUUCAACGAGCUCCAUGACUUCCUCAAUGAACAUCUGUAACCAUUAGCAAGGAUUAGAAAUUGUUUGAACCGGCACUUUUCCCCAGAGUGAAGCUCAACCAAUUUUGGGAUGAUGCACACUAAGCAAGGCUUCCAAAAUUCUGAACAAUCAAAGCAAGUGAUUCUACAAUUCAAAGCAUAACUGCUUCAUUUGGAUAUGAUCAUCAGGAUACCACUGUAUGAGCACCAAACUUUCUUUCAUUGAAUGAGUUGAAUACUAGGAAAACUGAACUACUUCUCUUCAUGGGUCCAACAUAUCAGUAGAAAUGGGAUCUGAAAGCGCAGACAUGGAACCGCUGGAAAUAACUCUGAACCUUCUGAAGAAGGCCACAACUUCCCUUUUUGAUAACUCAAGUCUAAAUUUAAGAGCAUUGCAAACCCUGCCCCUGGUACACACUUUGUUGGCUUUGAAACCAAACUAUUUUCAUGUUGAUACCGUGUCUUUAUGAUUUCGGCUACUUAAAGCAGCUACCAAAAGUGGAGCACCAUACUGGUAAGUUGGUAAUCAAGAUGAAAGGAUUGCAUAAGGCUAUAUUAUUGUCUUGAAUUUCAAAUUUUAAAUUACAAAAAAAAUUAGGAGAAAACAAAAUACAAUAAAAUUGGGAGAAAACAAAAUACAAGAAUUUAACAAGAUAAAUACUACCCGCUAUGACACUCUCUAACAGCCUAGACAUAGACCAAAACUUUUAUUCAUCUGUGAAGAACUUGUGCUGUUAUCGCCUUUGGAAGUUAAAUGCCUUAAUGGCAAAGGCAAAUAUAAAUAAGAAAAGCACCGUAAACCCAACAAUCACAACUGCAACCACUCCAAGGAAAUCAUGUUUGAAUCCAAGGUAGUCAUCCAAGUAUUGUUUCACUGUUACAUUUGAGUCAAGUAGUGUGUCCUCGAUAUCUCCAAACUGUGAUGUAACCAAUCCAUACAAACUCCAUGCAACUGGACAGGCCCAAUAGUACCAUCUCCACCACACAGGAAUCCUCUGUAUUCAUCAUGUAAGAAAUGCAACAAAAUGAGAUCGUUUCUGUAUCCAUGUGCUAAAGAAAGUGGCAAUUUAAAGAAUUAUGGGUUGAGAGCACUUACAUUUCGUGGGACUAUAAAACCUGAGAAGAGGUUCCAUAAUGUAUAAAAUGCUAAGGCAACGAUGGCAGCAAUAUGUUGAUUUGGUGUGGCAGCCACAGCCAUCAUGCCAUAAAAGGUGAAGUACAGUAAGGUGAAGAACAUGAAGAACAGAUACCAGAAGAACUUAGCAGCUGUCCAUUCAAAUCCAAUCAUUGCAUAAACUAUAACACCAUACGCCACAGCUUGUGAAAAGACAUAAGGUAUCUCAACUAAAGCCUGAAAGAAGAGAUGAAAUUUGAUUAAUAAAACCCAUAAAGUAUUAGAGAUAUACGAAGUCUAUAGCAUAAGAAAACUAAUUACCUGUGCAAAGGCAUAUGGCAUGGCUGAAUACAUUCCUGCAGCUCUUUCUCUGUAAAAGACUGUCCGUUCAACUGCCACGACUGGUUGCACCGAUUGGCCAUUCUGAAACCCAAGGAAGAGAACAGCGGCAUACAUAGAGCCCAUUGCAUUAGAUAUAUCUUGUUGUCUUGUCCUGCAUUUGCCAAUGUGAAGUAAAAAUUAAAGUUGAUAUGGAGAAGCAUACUGAGUUCUCAAAAUUCUGAACUGACUUCAAACUACCUUUUGGUGCCGAGAUCCCAGAACAUUGUCCCAAACAUCAAGGCUACGAAAGUUGUGAAGAAAAAUCUCACUGCCGUGUAUGGUGGAUUUCGCCAGUAUGACAAACGUUGUUUCCAUAAGCAUGCCAUACACUGGGUGAAGAAGGACUGGGAGUAUUGAGUAGGGAAAUAGAGGUCCUUAGAACCAGGGGUAGGUUGGCUCAAUUCUUUAAUUAAAUCUUUGUUUCUCCUGAAACAUAUGCCACAUCUUAGAAAAGGCUUCAACAACAAAUUCAAGCUUGCAUGAUGAACUUUGAAAUGGCUGUAUAUGACAUUUCAAUAUCAUAAAGCAUUCAGAUAUCCUAUAGUUGAAUCACCUGUAUAUGUCUGACUUUUCGUAUAUUUCGGUGAAAUCCACCCCCAAAAUUAAUUCUUGUGCAGAAGCGGUAACUUCCAACAUCCAAGUUGCAGGGUUAUAACCAUCUUUGAUUUUACUUACUCCUUCAAUUCCCUUAAUGAAAGCAAGUCACAUGUAUUAGUAAGCACUUUAUAUGAAUUAACUUAAACUAAAGUAUUUGCUGCUUAUAGCUUUUAAUUUAUCAUGGAAGUUUACCUCAAAAUACUUUAUCAGAUGGGAAGAAUGUCUACCCAGUGGUCCCAUAUAUAUCUCUUGCCCUCCACGCUUCAACAGGAGCAACUGCAAACCCAUUUUGAAUAUGUCAGUACUUAUAUGCAGGAGAGCAUAGAAGAGAAUAAAUCCUUUCUAUCCAUUAACAUUUCCCACCUCAUCAAAGGCAUCAAAGAUGUCAAUACUUGGCUGAUGGAUGGUGCACACAACUGUUCUUCCUGUGUCCACUGUGUUCCUGACUGUUCUCAUAACAAUUGCAGCAGCUCUUGCAUCUAGCCCUGAAGUUGGCUCAUCCAUGAAUAUUAUUGAGGGAUUUGCCACAAGCUCAACUGCAAUGGUCAGCCUCUUGCGCUGCUCGAUUGAGAGACCAUUUACACCUGGCAACCCAACUAGUGCACCCCUCAAUGGGGUCAGUUCCACGAGGUCCAUGACUUCCUCAAUGAACAUCUAUAACCAUUACCAAAGAUUAGAAAUUGUUUGAACCAGCACUUUUCCUCAAGAGUAUAGGUCAAGCCAAACUUGAACCUGACCAUAGCUCAACCAAGUUUGAAAAAUCAAUUCUAGGGCUUUGCUUGUUCAGAGCACUAAAUUCAAUAAGAAAAAUGUGGAAACAACACAGAAAACUCUCACCUUUCUUGUUUCAGCAUCCACAUUAGGAGGCAAUCGCAGCCAAGCUGAGUAGAGCAAGGACUCAUGGACAGUAACAUGAGGAGAGUGGAUGUCAUUCUGCUCACAGUAUCCAGAAAUGCGAGCAAAAGUCUCUUGCUUCUUUGGGUAGCCAGAAAUGCUGAUGCUACCCUCAAUAUAUCCACCAGUUUUCCGACCAGCCAAUACAUCCAUGAGAGUGCUUUUACCAGCACCACUAACACCCAUCAAAGCUGUAAGAACACCAGGCCUGAAAGCACCACUCACCCCCUUCAGAAGCUCCAAUCUGUCUUCAGGGACACCCUGACUUUUCAUUUCCUGCAAAUUCAAUUCAAACAACUUAGUUCUCAUUUUUGGUUUAUUAGUGCUGAUAAAACAUGUACAUUAUUUGCAUUAAUAUGAAGUUACCUCUGGCAUGUCAACUGAGUAUCUAAUAUCAUCAAAGGUGAUAGAAAGUGGUUGGAAUGGAAGAACCAUUCCUUUUUUGUUGUUACGUCUCGCCUCAGCAAUGGCUUCUGCCCUCACAGAAGAGGAUACGGAUGAGAUACUUCGCCCAAUUUCCUCUCCACUCUCUGCAUGUUAAGUUUAAAUUUAGAGAGCAAUAUAGAACAUGGGGUUAAAUGACAAGAACACAGGCACACAAAGGCAUGCAAGCACCAUGUAUGAGUUUCAUCACCUGUGGAUGCGGUUUGGUCAAUCGAGCCUUUUCUAUGGGACGAUAACUCAAUCUUUCCUUCAGUUUUGGCAUUGUCGGACUCUACUGUUAUAACAGCUCGAGGCUUCUCAAAUGCUGCACAAUUUGCAAAAAUCUUAAUACACUAACCUCCAAUAAUUUAGGAGUUUCAAUGCAGAGACGGUAAAGAUACUCACGAUUUAGGUAAGUCAGAGCCACAGUGUAACAGAAGUUGAAGACAAAUAUGAAUCCAAGCAGUGCCCCAGCUCCUAUCCAGUACCAGUGUGCCUCCGUGAAGAACCCACGAGCCUUCAAUACUGCUACUCCAAGGGAUUCUGUUGAAUUGGUAGAAGCAUUCUGAAAAAUGGAAAUACAUUCAAUCAUCAGUGACUGACACACAUAAAUAAACACAAAUACUCACAUGCAAAAUCCAAGAACUUACUUUGCUCCAACUCUUCCCAAGGAAUUCAUUUACCACUAUUGCGUUCUGUGCAUACAUCAUAGGGGAAGACCAGUAACCCCAAAUCCACCAUUUCUUGACACUUUCUGCAGCAUUGACCAAAUACAAAAAGAAAACAAAAAUCCAUUAUUAGUGUUUAUCAACAAGAAGGUUCUACAUUUCCUGAAAAUUUCUUUCCUCCUUAUACCUCGUGACAGGACAAAACCACCCAAUGCAAAGGGCAGAACUAAUGCAAAUGACCCAAAUGUGUUUGCAACAAUCAUGCUUCUACAAGCUGCUGCUAUAAAUCGAAAUAAUGAAGAUGCCGUCUGAUUAAGAAGCAAGAGGAGAAGAUACUGUCUAAACAAUCUGCAAUAAGAAGAUUUGUUUAUUGAGCAUAGAUCAUUUUGGAACAGAGAAAACAGGUGAAACAAAUCUGGACAAGUUUCUGCAACUUCAUAAGUUUUUAACUUUUACCUUCCCACAUUUGGAUCAAAUCCAAUGACAUAAUAAGUGAUGAAUACCCAAAGACCAACUUCAACAAAUGUGAUGGGGAUCUUGAGGAACCAUGAGGGAAGAGCAUAUGCCCAUGCAGGAUAGAAGAGCAGGCCUCUUUGCUUGUAAAAGACAGGAAGUUUUAGAAUGGUCAUGGCAAGUUCUGACAUUCCAUUAAACAUGACCUUCAUGACAGUGAAGAACAAAGCACCAGUGUAAAUGAUUCCAUCUUCUGUUGUGUUUUUGGGCAUCUCAGUUCUUAGGAAGAUUGUCAUUGCAAUCAUUGCGACUAUUGUGAGCUAAAAGCAGAAAUAAAAAUAAUAAAUUACGAUCAAAUGUACAAAAUUAAAAGCCAUUGUUAUAAGUAACAACAAUAAUAAUACUCACUUGGGUGAGCUUGAAAAUAUAGACAAAUGAAUUCCUCUUCAUCAGCAAGUACUCUCUUGAGAUGCAAGCAUCCAACAGUUCCUUCUUUCCAACACCAUAUUUUUCAGUUUUCAAAGCAGCCGGGUGGCUUUUGGUCUUGUCGAAUGGAGUUGCAAGCUCAUCUCCUAGUUUCCGUCCAAAGUGAAAUGACUGGAAUGCCUCAGCNNNNNNNNNNNNNNNNNNNNNNNNNNNNNNNNNNNNNNNNNNNNNNNNNNNNNNNNNNNNNNNNNNNNNNNNNNNNNNNNNNNNNNNNNNNNNNNNNNNNAUCUUUAUGUGCCCAAUACUGCUNNGAUCUUCCUAGAUGUUACUGCAAUCAAUUUUAAAAUUCGUGUUCUAGCUUGGUUUUUUCUAAAGAAGGGAAAAAAUGAGAAGAUGCCAAAAGGUACAAAGCUAUUAGCACUCACUUCUUGUAGGAAGUCUGCCACACCCUUCCUUUCAGGACAUCUGAACCCCAUGGAUUCAAAAAAGUUAAGAACGUCUUCACGAGGACCCUGAUAAAUGAUCCGGCUAUCAGAGAGAAGAAUGAUGUCAUCAAAAAGAUCGUAAGUCUCAGGUGCUGGCUGGAGGAGAGAGAUGAGAGCAGUCCCAUUGAGAAUGUGGACGGUUUGCCUGAGAGAAUUUACGAUUUGAUAAGUUGUUGAGCUAUCCAAGCCAGUAGAGAUCUCAUCCAUGAACAGUGCCUUUGAUGGUCCAACCAGCAUCUCACCUAUCAUUCAUAUAUUUUCAAAUAAUUGAACUAUAUUAGAUUAAUGAACAAAAAAUAUCUUCUUCUUCUUCUUUUUUCCUUUUUCAUGUUAGAACACAAAUUAUCCUACCAGUUGUGACACGCUUCCUUUGUCCUCCAGAGAUACCCCUCACCAUUUCAUCUCCUACCAUGGUGUCUGCACAGAUUUCUAGUCCCAGAAUCUGUAAAUUUAAGUGUAAAUGAAAAUAAACAAAUUAUGAGUUAGAACUGGGUUUUCUCAGAAAUCUGUAUUCCAUCAUUGAAAGUUUUAUGGUUAUGAUACCUUUAGUGUAUAAUCAGUGAUCACAUUCUCCUUCUGGCCUUCAGCUGCCGCUGCCUGAAAUGUUAGAAACCAAUAAUGAAAAUCUCAACAACCAUUAAAGUUAGUUUGGUACAUCAAGAUAUUCCAUGGAUAAGAUCGACAGAACAUCAAGAAAACAAAGUCAAUUUGCAUAUCUAUGUGAGAGAUCAAAAUUUUCAUUCUAGAGAAGACAAGUGUCCAUGUUCUCCACGAAAAACAAAUAGCUGAUCAAUUUCACAAAGUAGCUUCUGUCUCACCUUCAUGAAGACAUCGAUAUCAGGAUCGGGCUUUAUAUUUGCUGCUUUCUCUCUUCUUGAGAGCUCUACUAACAUGUCUGCAGAUAGCCAAAAUAAGAGUCAAUCUCCUGGCCUAGGCAAAUGUCAUACAACUACAUCCACAACCUUCAAAAACAAAGAAAAUAAAAGUGAAGGCAAUGGUUUAGACUAACCAUAUCGAUCUCCAACACCCUGGCAUCUUGCAGAGAAGGCCAAGGUUUCCCGUACAGUCAUUUCUCCUAUAUGGGUAUCAAGUUGGCUUAUGUAGGCGGCAGUUCUCUGGGGUACAAACUCAUUCAUGCCAUGACCGUUGUAUGUCACCCUUCCCGUAACCUAAACAAGAAAUUUCAGUUUUCAAAUUGGAUAUGAGAUUAAAGUGCUAAAAAUUGCAUCAAAGAAGAAAAGCAAUAAGAGUUUUUUUUUUUUUUUUUUCCAUUCAACCUUUAGACUGGAAUCAAGCUUUCCGGACAAAGCCAAUAAGAGAGUGGUCUUUCCAGAACUUGGAGGACCCAAAAGCAACGUCAUUCUGCAGAAAAAAAAUUAUGCACAAAAAAUUGAGUAUUGAUCUUCAGGGCAUUCUAAAUUUGAGAAAGGAAAAAAUCAUUUGAUUUAUCAAUCAAUUUUUUACUAGAAAUAAAUUCAAAUUCUCACCUUCCGGGUUUGAUGAUUCCGCUAACAUCAUGAAGAAUGGUGAAUUUCUUCUUUCUACUUGGAAGAAUUCGAAGAGUGUUCAAGAUAUCCUUUAAAACAGAAAGAAAAAUUAUAAUCUAAAAACAAACUUUCCCAAGAGAGUACUUAUUGAUUAGCUAAUGAUCUGCAUUUUCAUUUUAGUUACCUCAAUUUGAUUAAAAACAGAAUUAAUGAAUGAAGGCAAAGCUCUGCUUCCUACAUGAGCUUCUGCAUCAAUGGUAAGAUGCUCAAAUCUAACUUCAAUUUCGGGAAGAUCAAUCCCAACUCUGAAAAAUGGAAGAGCCACGAAAACUCGUUAUUAAAAAGUCAAAGGAAGAUGUUGUUUGGUUGCAAAGAAAAUAUAGGAAACACUAUCAGGCAUACUUAAGAUGAAUUCUUUCUUUUCCACUGUUUUCAAUGUUCAAAAAGAGGCAAGGAGCGCAAGAAAAGAAGAGAAAUCGCACCUAUCCAUACGAUUCUUGAGCUUCAACAAGAACUUCUCAUUGUCCUCUUCAGCGAUUUUCACCAACCGCUCGACUAAAUUCUUCCUUUCCUGAGGCCCAAGGUUGUGUAUAUCAACUUCACUGGCCUCACCCUCUGAUCCGAUCAGCAAACCUUUCCUCAGCCGAUUGUAGGUGGGAAGUUUCUCGAGGGCAGCCCAUUUCAAAGCUUCCUCAUCAUCCUCAUCCCUUGAAGAACGGGAGAAAACCUCCGCACCAGAGUUCCUCCAUAUGGAAGAACUGUUCUUCUUGAAACUACCACUGGCUCUACGACCACUGGCUGUAUAAAUUUCAGCUGUUUCCAUUGCAACACGAAACGAGGAACCCCCCUGCAAAACUAACCAGAACCCACCAAAACCCAGAAAUUUUUCCAAAAAAUCAGGAGAAGCCCAAGUUUUGAUCUCUGGAGCUGAAAAAAACUCAGAGAUGGGUGUCCUCCCCUCUUUUCUCUAUGCACUUUGUAGUGCUAAAACCUUGUUCUAUGUUAGAAAACCAUGAGGAAUGGAAGGUUUAUAUACUGGUUCGAAGGACAGAAUCAGAGGCGGCCUAAAAGUUUCAAAUUCUUAUUUUAACAUUUUCACAAUUCUCCACUAUCUUGUUUGUCAAGUAAAUGGAAAAGUGAAUUAUUAAAUGUUGUCCUAACCGCAAACUAACUAACUUUCCCGGGCCAAACUAACUAAAUUCCAAAUGUAAAACAUUUAUGGCAUCUUGUUUAUACUCUUGUUUAAUGAUAUGAUACUUUCGGUUUAGUUUGCCUGAAUUAAAAAUGUAAGUUAAUUUUUAACAUUUCAUUUAUAACCUAAUUUAAUGUUGAUAUAUUGAAUUUGGAUUACUUCUUUUAAUCUCAGAAUUUAUUAAGAUUAGAUCGGAGUUGAGUUAAUAGGCCUCGAGUUAAUUUAAAUUAUAUUCAAGGAAAGAGUUAAGUAAACUUUAAUAAGUGAAUGAUGAAAUUUUUUAUUUCUAAAUUAUAUGUAAUAUAAUCAAAUAUAUGUCUCGUUAUUACGAGUUUACAAGUAACCCAAUAGGCAUAAGAAUUAUUGAAGGUUGGCCCAACAGCCCCUUUUGACCCUUCAAAUGACUGCCCUUGUCAUUUUCAGCUUUACUCACCCUUGUCAACCAGCAAGCAACUCACUAGGAAUAGGAAUUAUCAAAUUAAGUAACUUUGCCACAAGCAGCCCCAACCCCACCCCCAAACCCCCAAACCCCCACCCCCCACCCCCCACCCACCACCCAACAUAUUUUUUUGGCAAUUUUUGUUAAAUCUAAUUUAAUAUUUUGAUAUUUGGAUUACCUAAAUUAGAAAUGUAAGUUAAUUUUUAGAAAUUUGUUUGUAGUCUAAUUUAAUGUUGAUUAAACUCGAGUAAGUUUAAAUUAGGAUUAAAUCUAUUUAAGGAUGGUGUUAAACAAAUGAGGAAACCUAAACCUUAAUUAAGUGGGUUAUUAGAAAAAAUAUUAUGGUAUUAAUUAUUUCAUGAAUUUGUAUAUCUUAAAAUUAGUUAAUAAUACCCCUCAUUAUUAUUCAAUAAAAGUGGCCAAUUCUAUGGUAAAGAAUAAAAAUAUUAAAAACAUUAGUAAAAGAUGUUUUAGACUUUACUAAAAAAAUAAGUUAAAAGACUUUUUCAAAAGAAUUUUAAAAAGUAUUUAAACUCCCCGCUAAGAUAUUUUAAUAAAUCAUUUUUUUUUUUACCAAGUCAAUGGAAAUUUGAAUUAUUAAAUGUUAUCUAACUACUAGAUAAAUUAAUAAGUUGUUUGACAAUUAUUUUUUGAGAACUAUUUUUUUAUUUUAUCUUUAAGUUGUUUUCACUUAUUUUUUAAAAUUUGUUUUAAAAAAUAACUAUACAGAAAAAUGAUUAAAAAUAAAGUACUAAAUAUAAAAAAAAUCAUUUUUAAAAAAUAUUAAAAACCAUUUAAAAUAUUUUAAAUUCUCAAAUAAACUUUUGUUUUAUAAAACAUUAAAAAAUAAUUUUUAAAAACUGUUCUUAAAAACUAUUUUUCAAAAUUAUUUUUUAAAACAAUUACAAAAUGGAUCCUAACUUUAUUUGCCUGAGUGCAAAUCUACCUAAAUUGUAAAUGUAAAAUACUUUUUUGGCAAUUUAUUUAUAAUUUAAUUUUAAGAUUCCAUACUUUGGGUUUUGAAUUACCACUUUUAAUCUCCCAACUUUUUAGAGUAGGAUUGGAUUAGCUGAAUUUGACUCUGCUUAGAGUUAGGUCCCGGGUGGUUUUCGACUGGCUCAUACUCUCCUAAAUUAUAAAUGUAAGUACAUUUUUUGGUACAUUUCCUUUUCUUUUUUUUUUUUUUAAAAACAAAAUAUCUUAUAUGAAAAAAAAAAAAAGGAAUUCUUGUAUAAAAGCUAGUUAUAUACCUUGUAUAAAAAUUUAAGUAAUUUUACUUCCACAAAUUUUCUAGGUUUUGAAAAGAAUUUUUAGAAAUACAAGGUAAAUUUUACCUUUUUAUAUAAAAGUUCUUAUAUUUUAUAUAGAAAUUCUUAUUUUUAAAAAUAAAAAAUGUACCUAAUCACCACCUAAAUUAUUUUUCACCAUUUUUUUAUACUAUAAUCUAAUGUUUAUGAUCGAAAUCUAGUGUUUGUAGUUAAGUUUGUAUUGAAGUUUAGUCAACAUAUUCAUGGAUGAAGCUAAACUAAUGACAGAAACUUUAUUUAAGUGAGCAAUUAGAACAAUUAUGAGGGUAAUAAAUAAUUGAUAAAUUUUCAAAAUUUAAAAUUUGUUAACAAUUCCCCUCAUUAUUAUAAAAAAUAUAUAUACAAUUAUAGAGGUUAAUUAUAAAAAAGAAAGAAAAUAUAUGAUAUAUCAAACUGAAUAAAAAUAAUAUCAAACAUAUUGGUAAAAAUAUUUUUGUUUUUCAAAAAAAAAACAUCCAAAAAAUUAAAAGGUUUUUUUUCAAAAGAAUUAAAAAAUAGUUAAAAUUUUCAAUAAGAAAUUUCUAAUAAUUUUGUUUUAACAAAAAUAGAAAAUCAACAAUUCCACUUAUAAAUUUCUUCUAUUUUUCAAAUAGCUAAAGAUAAAUUGAGUGAGGAAACUAUUUUUUUUAUGAAGUAUAUAUAAUAUAGUAAAAAUAUCAUAUUAAGUUAUAUAAUUUUUAUAAUUAAAGUUAAAUUCAAAUUCUCAUAAUAUAGUCAUUAUAUGAGAUUUGAUAUGAUGAUAUUUAUAAAAUCGAUGAGAUUGAUAUUCAAAUAUUUCUUUUUAAAACAUACUGAUUUAACUCUACAAGUGGUACCACCACCCAUAUAAAUUAAUAUUAAUUACAAACUUCCAUAAUACAAAUCAUUGCAUAGGAUUAGAUUUAUUAAAAAUUAAAUAACAUAUAAAUUUAUAUAGCUUUGUAGUAAAUUCUAAAUUAGUGAUUAUUUCAUUAAAUCUAAAAAAUAAAAGUAAAAUGACCAAAUCAAUCUGCAAAAAAUUCACCACUCAAAAUAAUUUAAUAAAAUGUCAAAUACUAAUAGAAUUUUUUGAGGGAUGAGGUUUAGAAAAAUCAAAUUUAGCUUUUUCUAUUUGAAAAAACCUCAUUUUCAAGGGAAGACAUUAUUAAAUCCUCCUUGAUGAUGGUAAAGUUAGGGAAAGAAAAAGAAACAACAAAUCUUAAUAUGAUGUUUCAGGGAACCCUAUCUUCAAUGAAUCAAACUAGUUUUAUGGGGCCUAAUUGACUGGAAGUUCUUAUUUUCAUUUGUCCAAAUAAAGAAAUAUUCAGAAACUGAAAAUCUUCUUUCCUAUCACAGUUCUGAACAAUCAAAGCAACUAUUAAUAAAAAAAAAACACUCAGAAUAUGACAGAUUUUGAACUAAAUAUCAUCUCGAUUCACCUACUCAAGAAAUUUGAUGAGUUUUUGAGCUUGGAAGAGUCAGGUCAAAUCCACAUGUCUGCAAAUUUGGAAGGCAGUGAUUCUACAAUUCAAAGCAUAACUGCUUCAUUUGGAUAUGAUCAUCAGGAUACCACUGUAUGAGCACCAAACUAUUUACAUUGAAUGAGUUGAAUACUAGGAAAACUGAACUACUUCUCUUCAUGGGUCAAGCAUAUCAGUAGAAAUGGGAUCUGAAAGCGCAGGCAUGGAACUACCUCUGAACUUUCUGAAGAAGGCCAAAACUUUUCUUUUUGUUAGCUCAAGUCUAAAUUUAAGAGCAUUUUAAACCCUGCCCCGUCAUACACACUUGUUGGUUUUGAAACCAUACCAUUUUCAUGCUGAUACCUGUCUUUAUGGUUUCAGCUGCUUAAAGCAGAGACUGAAAGUGGAGCACCAUACCGGUAAGUCGGUCAUCAAGAUCAAAGGAUUGCUGGUCACACUAGACAGGCGAAGCAGGUUGAGAAAUGCAUAGUUGUCGAAGGACAAAUUGCAUCCAGGUAAUUUCAGCGACAGUAAUAGGAAGACCAUGAUAUUCGGACUCAGCACUACUUCGUGAGAUAACUCUUUGUUUGGUAGACGACCAUGACACCAGAUUGGAGCCAAGGAAGAUGUAAUAGCUGCUAGCGCUUCCACGAUCGUUUGGGAAUUAUGCCCAAUCCGCAUCUGUGUGGGAUUGGAUGUCCAGAGAGGACGAGGGAUGCAGUAUCAGUCCGUGGGGGGUGGUGCCUUUAAGGUACCUGAGGAUCCUUUUUACACCAAGCCAGUGCAUGGUGGUGGGACGAGCCAUGAACUGACAUGCUUUAUUGGCUGCAAAUAAGAGAUGAGGCCUGGUGUUGGAAAUGUAUUGGAGGGCUCCCACUAUGCUGCGGUACAAUAAGACAUUCGAAAUGGUUCUCCAUCAGACUCAGAUAGGGUUGUGCCAGUGGCUCCAGGUGUGGUAGUAGGCUUGGAAUCCAACAUAGUCGUUCAAGUGAGAAGAUCACAGAUGUACUUAUGCUGAUUGAGAUGUUGUAAUGCAUUGGCAUGAGUGACCUCUACACCCAGAAAGUAGUUAAUAUGACCAAGGUCUCUAAGGGCAAAUGUUGUUUUGAGAUAUUGCAAAAAUGAGAACACCUGAGGAGGAUUGCUGCCUGUAAUUAAUAUACCGUCAACAUAGAUUAAAAGGAGUAUGGUAGCAAUUGAUGUAUGAAGGAAGAACAGAGAAUUAUCAGCCUAUGAACAAGUGAAGCCCCAGCUGAGAAGUGCUGUUCGAAGUCUGAGAAACAAGGCAUGAGGGGCCUGCUUGAGGCCAUAUAAAGCUUUGUUCAAGCGACAAACAUGAGAUGGAUAUUGCGGAUCUACAAAAUCUGGAGGCUGCUGCAUGAACACUUGCUCACGGAGGUCGCCAUUGAGGAAGGCAUUUUAAUUUGGACAUCCAGUUGUCUAAUUGGCCAACCAGAGGAGAGAGCUAUGGUGAGGACUAUGCGAAUGGUGGAUGCCUUGACUAUUGGACUGAAUGUUUCGAAGUAAUCUAGCCCAUGUGUUUUGCAACACGGCGAGCUUUGUAGCGAUCAAUGGUCCCAUCUGGUUUAUAUUUGGGUUUAUAGACCCAUUUGCAACCAAUGAUAUGUCCAUGUUGAGGAGCUGGAGCAAGAGUCCAGGUGUUGUUGCGGAUGAGGGCAUUGUAUUCAGAUGUCAUAGCUUCUUUCCGGUUGGAAUUUUUGAGUGCUUGGUGAUACGUUCGAGGUUCAAUGAUUUUCGGUGCAAAGAACAAUAUGGGUUUGAGGUUACCAAUUUUUUAUCGAGUGAGCAUGAGGUGGGUGUUAGCUGGUUUGGUGAAGAGAGUCUUGGACUGUAAUGCUAAAAGUGAAGAGUUAGUAAAUGGUGCCUGAAUAAUGGAGGGAAUAAAGUGGUUAAAGAAGGAAGGACUGGUUAUAGCUAGUUGGGGAAUGGGUCGUUCACGGGACUGGGUGGUGGUGGAUGAGAAAAGGGUUGGGAAAUGAUGAAGAGGGCUGGAAUAAGGAAUAGCUGAGUGAGGGCUUGAGGACAGGAUGGGAGAGGGCUCGAAGAGUGGUUAUAUUUGAAAUGAGAAGAUGGUUUCAUUGAAAACUACAUGACGGGUGAUGUAGAGGCGACUGGAUAAGAGGUCCAUGCAUAUGUAGCCUUUCUAAAAUGAGCUAUAACCCAGAAAUACACAUUGGACUAAUCGAUAUUGGAGCUUAUGGUUAUUGUAUGGUCGAAUGUAUAGGUAGCAAAGACACCCCAAAUACUUUAGACAUUGUAUAAUCUGGAGGAUGGCCAAAUAGAACUUGGAAAGGGGAGUUAAGAUUUAGGAUUUUGGUAGGUAGUCUGUUAAUAAUAAAUGUUGCAGUUUGGAAGGCAUACAACCAGAACUUCAAGGGUAAAGAGGCUGUGGCUAAGAGGGUUAGCCCGUUUCAACAAUGUGGUGUAUUUUACAUGCAGACCUGCCAUUUUACUCCGGAGUGUGGGGACAUAAACAUCGGUUUAUAAUUCCUUGUUGAGUAAGGAAGGGAGCGAAGGCCCUAAACUCUCCUCCAUUGUCCUAUUGGAGGCAUUUGAUUGUGGAACCAAACUGUUUCUCUACUAGAAUUUUAAACUUCAUGAAUGUAGGUAAGCUUGAUCCUUAGUGUGUAAGGGAUACGGCCUGGAAAAUCUUGAACAAUCAUCAACAAAUAACAAGAAAUAUCGAGCACCAAUAGAGGCUGGAAUGGGUGACGGUCCCCAAAGAUUAGUGUGUAUAAGAUCAAGGAUAUUAGAAGCUUUAAUUGGACUCAGAAAGUGAAAAUGGUAAUUUGUGGCUUUUUCCAUAUUGACAAGCAGUACAUAUAGUAGAAUUAUUGGUUUCAAGAGUUUGAGAAUGUUUGCAACAGGAUGUCCCAGCCUAGCAUGCCAGAGAGUAAACUGCUCAGUUCUUGUGGUAGACGCAGGAGUGUGAGACGCAGUUGUGAGGAAGGUUGAGGAUGACCUUGGUGUUAUGAAGUUCAUACGGAACUUAUAGAUACCAUUUUCAAGAUUGUCGUGGAGUAGAGUUUUCUUCAUGAGGUGGUUCUUCACAAGAAAGGGACGAGGAUAAAAGUCAAAGAAAGAAUUAUUGUCAUGGCAGAAUUUUGAGACGCUCAUAAGAUUUUGGCAAGUUUGGGAACAUGAAAUACUUUGUUUAACUGAAAAGUCUUAAAUGAAGUAGGUAGGAAUUUAGAACCAAUAAGAAGAUAGGAAGCCUCUUACCAUUGCCAAUGAUGACUAUAACUAGAAAUGGGAUCUGUAAGUGCAGGCAUAGAACCUCUGAACAUUCUGAAGAAGGCCAAAACUUUUCUUUUUGUUAGCUCAAGUCUAAAUUUAAUGACAUUUCUCUCAUACACACUUGCUGGUUUUGAAACCAUACUAUUUUCAUGCUGAUACCUGUCUUUAUGAUUUCAGCUGCUUAAAGCAGAGACUGAAAGUGGAGCACCAUACCGGUAAGUUGGUCAUCAAGAUGAAAGGAUCGCAUAAGGUUAUAUUAUUCUCUUGAAUUUAAAAUUUCAAAUCACAUACAAAUGGGAGAAAACAAAAUACAAGAAUUUGACAACAUAAAUAUUACCUCCUCAUAGCAGGGCUAUCGAUACUCUCUAACAGCCUAUACAUAGAACAAAACCAUUUUUUCAUCUUUGAAGAACUUGAGCUUUUAUCGCCUUUGGAAGUUAAAUGCCUUAAUGGAAAAGGCGAAGAUAAAUAAGAAAAGCACCGCAAACCCAACAAUCACAGCUGCAACCACUCCCAGGAAAUCAUGUUCGAACCCAAAAUAGUCAUCCAAGUAUUGUUUCACUGUUACAUUUGUGCCAAGUAGUCUGUCUUCGAUAUCUCCAAACUGUGCUGUAAUCAAUCCAUACAAAGUCCAUGCAACUGGACAUGCCCAAUAAUACCAUCUCCACCACACAGGAAUCCUCUGCAUUCAUCAUGGAAGAAAUGCAACAAAAUGAGACAGUUUCAUAUCCAUGUGCUAAACAAAGUUCCAAUUUAAAGAAUUAUGGGUUUAGAGCACUAACAGUUCCUGGGACGAUAAAACCGGAGAAGAGGUUCCAUAAUGCAUAAAAUGCUACAGCAAUGAUGGCAGCAAUAUGCUGAUUUGGUGUGGCAGCCACAGCCAUCAUGCCAAACAAGGUGAAGUAUAAUAGGCUGAAGAACGUAAAAAAAAAAUAUACCAGAAGAACUUAGCAGUUGUCCAUUCAAAUCCAAUCAUUGCAUAAACUAUAGCACCAUAAACCACAGCUUGCGAAAAGACAUAUGGUAUCUCAACUAAAGCCUGAAACAAGAGAUGAAUUUUGAUUAAUAAAACGCAUAAAGCAUUAGAUAUAUACAAAGUCUAUAGCAUAAGAAAACUUGUUACCUGCGCAAAGGCAUAUGGCAUGGCUGAAUACAUUCCUGCAGCUCUUUCUCUGUAAAAGACUGUCCGUUCAACUACCACGACUGGCUGCACCGAUUGGCCUAUCUGUAACCCAAGGAAGAUAACAGCAGCAUACAUAGAGCCCAUUGCAUUAGAUAGAUCUUGUUGCCUUGUCCUGCAUUUUCCCAUGUGAAGUAAAAAUUGAAGUUGAUAUGGAGAAGCAUACUGAGUUGUCAAAAUUCUUAACUUAAAUCAAAUUACCUUUGGGUGCCGAGAUCCCAGAACAUUGUCCCAAACAUCAAGGCUAUGAAAGUUGUGAAGAAAAAUCUCACUGCCGUGUAUGGUGGAUUGCGCCAGUAUGACCAACGUUGUUUCCAUAAGCAUGCCAUACAUUGGGUGAAGGACUGGGAGUAUUGAGUAGGGAAAUAGAGGUCCUUAGAACCAGGGGUAGGUUGGCUCAAUUCUUUAAUUAAAUCUUUGUUUCUCCUGAAACAUAUGCCACAUCUUAGAAAAAGCCUCAACAACAAAUUCAAGCUUGCAUGAUGAACAUUGAGAUGGCUGUAUAUGACAUUUCAAUAUCAUAAAGCAUUCAGAUAUCCUAUAUUUGAAUCACCUGUAUAUGUCUGAGUUUUUGUAUAUUUCAGUGAAAUCCACUCCCAAAAUUAAUUCUUGUGUAGAAGUGGUAACUUCCAACAUCCAGGUUGCAGGGUUAUAACCAUCUUUGAUUUUACUUACUCCUUCAAUUCCCUAAAUGAAACCAAAUUAAUCCUUCAUAAUGUACCAAAUUUUAUAAAGGAAGUACUAAAUUUUGUCAAGGACGUACCAAAUUUUUUAAAGGAUGUACCAAUGUUGCCAAAGUCCGUUAUGAGGUGGGGAACGACCUUCAAUAACUUCCUGAAGGUCUCCAAAUGAAGAAAUGGACUAUGGAAAUGGAGAUAAGUGUUCCAUUAGCUCAAGGAUUGGAUGUAUUAAAUUUUCUCAAUGAUGUACCUAGGGUUCCAAAGUCCAUUUCGGAGUAGGGAACGAUUUCCAAUCACUUCCCAAAGAUCCCUAAAGGAAUAAACAGACCAUGAGUAAUAAGAUAGAGAUUUCAAUAGCUCAAGUAUGUACCAAAUAUUUUUAAGAAUAUACAAAAUUUUAUAAAGGAUGUACCAAGAGUGCCAAAAUUUGUUUCGAUGUGGGGAAUGACCUUCAAUCACUACCUAAGGGUCCUCAAAGGAUAAUAUGGACCAUGGGAAGAUAGAUAAGGGCUUGAUAGCCUGAGGAUUGGAUGUACCAAAAUUUCUUAACGAUGUACCAAAUUUCCUUAAGGAUGUACCUAGGGUUCCAAAGUUCGUUUCUAAGCAGGGAACGACCUCUAAUUACUUCCUAAAGAUCCCUAAAGAAAUAAACAAACCAUGGGUAAUAAUAUAGAGGUCCUGGUAGCUCAUGGAUUGGAUGUACAAAAUUGUUUUAAGGAUGUGCCAAAUUUUAUAAAAUAUGUACCAAAUUUUAUAAAUGAUGUACCAAAUUGUCUUUAGGAUGUACCUUGGGUUCCAAUAUCAGUUUUAGAGUGGGGAAUAACCUCUAAUUCCUUCUCAAGGGUCCCCAAAUGAAUAUAUGAACCAUGAAAAUGAAAAUAGCGGUUUUAGUUCCUCUAAGAAUUGAUAUACCUAGGAUCCCAAAGUUCUUUUUGGGGUGGGCAAAAACCUCCAAUUACUUAUCAAGGGUCUUAAAAGAAUAUAUACACCUUGAUAAGUAUGAUAGUGUUUUCGGUUUUCCUAAGCAUUAAUUUACCUAUAUUUUUUAAGGAUGUACCUAUUUUUAUUAAAUUAAUAUAAAAGGCUAAAUUCAAUUUUUUAUGAAAAAUAUAUUUUCUUUUAUAUUUUAUUUUAAUUAAAAAUUAAAGAUUUUAACCAAAAAAAAAAAAUUAGAUCCAUAAUCAAUUUAAAAUCAUAAGAAAAAUGAUAUAAGCACCGUCACUUAUUGUGAUUUUGAUAUGAUAAAUUUAAAAUGAAAAUUAAAAGAAAAAUAAUGUAAAUAAUAAAAUAGUAUUACAAUGAUAUUUUUACUUUUACAUGUGAUAGAAUUUACAAAAUAAAUAAAUCUUUUGUUUAGUUUUAAUAUAAAAAAUCUUAUAUCUAAAUAAUAAAAUGGAAUUUUUAAAUUUAAACCUUAAUUUAUAAAAUGUAUUAUUAUAAUUAAUAUUUAAAAUCAUUGUUAUUUGUGGGAUAAUAUUUUCAUUUUUGUACAUUAUAUAUUUUGUUUUUAUUUAAUUUUUUAUAUUAAUUAUUUAUUAUACAUUAUCAUUUUAAGUUUAAUAUGUCAAAAAAAUAAUUAAAAUCAAUAAAUAUAGACAAAUUAGAGAGUAAAAAUAAAUUUAAAUUAAAUUAAAAAAUGCACGAGCAUAUUAAAAAGAAUAUAAAGGAAAAAAAGAAAAAUAAUAAUAAAAACUAUAAUAGGUGAUAAUGGAUUAUGGUGGCAGGAGAGGAAAAAAAAAAGUGGAAAUGUGACGAGUGGUAAGGGAGAUAUAUUGAUGUGAGAAAAAUAAUAAAAAUAAAUUACACAUGUACUUGUUAACAAGUUGUAUUAAAUUGAUGUAUACUUUGUCCUUUACUUUUAAGGGUAAUUAUGGAACAAAUUUGAAAGCACUAUUGGAGUGCAUGAAUAAACAAUAUUUUUUCUCAUUUUACACCAAAAUUAAAAAGAAAAAAAGUAAAGCUCCAAAAUCUCAUAUUUUUUGUAAUUGGUAUAUGGUUAGAUGAUUUUCCCUUUUUUUUAAGCUUGGGAUCAAAUGUGGAACCGAAGGUUGGACCCAUACACAUUAAGCAACCAUCUUUGAAAAACUUGUCCUCUGCACAUCUUAUCAUGUUUGGAAGUUAAAUGCAUUAACGGAAAAAGCAUAGUUCAAAGUCGCAAUAUCGGUUAUUGACUCGGAAAGUCAUGAGGCAUAUCAGUAUCGAUGUCUCGCUUCGAUAUCAGGUGAUACGUAAAAUAAGAUAAUUAAAAUUUUCAAAAAAUUAUAAAAUUAUUAUAUAAAUUAAAAAAUAAUAUAUAUAUCUAUAUAUAUAUAUAUAUAUAUAUAUAUAUAUAUAUAAUUAAUUAAAUAAACUAAAAAUUUUAAUAAAACAAAUUUUUUUCACAUUUAGCUCAAAGUUAUUUGUGAUAAUAUUAAAAUUUGAGGAUUUAAUUCUCACUUUGCCAUAUAAACACUUUAAUUUAUCAUUAAAUCUCAUAUAUACCUUUCAUAUCAUUUUACUUUAGCAAAUCGGGUACUCAAUUCUCUUAAUAUGUUAUUAUUAAAUCAUAUUAAAGUGUUUAUAUGAAAGGUAUUUUCCAUGUAAAUUGGGACUCAAUUCUCCAUGUAAAUCCGUAUAAAAGAUAGUUUUUUACUUUACUAAUUUGAGCUCCCAAUCUCCCACUCUCGCCACCGUUGCUGUCAAGACCCAUAACAGACCUCCCAAUCUCCCACCCUCACACGCCACCAUGCCGUCAAGACCCACAAUAAACGAUACCACCUGCAAUUGUAAAUUUGCAACCAUGUAAGACCUAACAUGGGAAGGGGAGCAAUCUGAUUGUGAGGGGGUUGUCUUGUCGACGUCGCCGAUGAAAGAUUCAGUCCACUUAACGAGUCACCACCGUCGACACCAAAGCUCCACCCUCUGGUGAUGCUCGAUUUUGAGGAAAAUCAGGUAAGUAAAUCCUAAAUCAUGUCCUCAUCCUUCGGUGGUUUCUCCACUUAUUUCCGAACAAAUCACGGUUUGGGUUUUUUUCUUCGUCUUCUUUGAUCUUCUCAUUAAUGGUUUAAAAUUUCAGAAUAGGUGUUUUCUUUUGAAAGGGCAAUGUUUGAUUAUUAUUUUUUUUAAUUUUAUGAAAAUUUUGAAAAUUCUUUGUAACCUCACCGAGUCAACCAAGUUAACUUGGAAACUCAGACAAGUCAAUCGAGUCUAACCGAUUCCCAGCCGAGUUCAUGCAUUAUACUGUAUCUGGUAUCAGUCUCGUCGCGGCAAGUAUCGAGGCAGAUACGACUUGGCUGAGUCAUACCGGACUCAGCUGAUACUUUGAACCCUGGGCAAAAGUGAAGACAACGAAGAAGAGCAAGGUAAAGCUAGUUAACAACCACAACUGCAAUCACUCCCUGGAAAUCAUGCUUAAAUCCAUAAAAAUAAUCCAAGUAUUGUACCACGGUUACAUUUCUAUCUGUUAGCAUCUCCUCUACAUCACCAAACUGUGAUGUAAUCAUUCCAUACAAGGUCCAUGCAACUGGAAAUAUCCAAUAGUACCAUCUCCACCACACAGGAAUCCUCUGGAAUCUAUCAGGGAAGAAAUGCAACACAAUGAAUCAUUUCUAUAUCCUUAUGAUAAUGUAAUUUGGAUUUGAGAAACAAUUAUAUAUGGGUUGAGAGUGCUUACGGUUCGUGGGACUGUAAAGCCUGAAAAGAGUUUCCACAAUCCAUAAAAUGCAGCACCAGUGACGGUAGCAACGUGUUGAUUCGGUGUAGCAUCCACAGCCAUCAUGCCAUAGAAGGUGAAGUACAACAAGGUGAAGAACAUGAAGAAGAGAUGUCAGAGGAACUUAGUGGCCAUCCAUUCAUAUCCGAUCAUUAAAUAAACUAUAAGACCAUAUACAACAGUUGUACAAAGAUAUAUGGGAUCUCAACAUAAGUCUGCAACAAGAGAUGAAAUUUUAGUAGGAAAUGACAUAAAAGUAAUACAGAUCUGCAAUGUCUAUAGCAUAAGAAGACUAGUUACCUGUGCGAAGGCAUAUGCCAUGGCUGAAUACAUUCCUGCAUCUCUUUCUCUAUAAAAGACUGUUCUUUCAACUACGACUGGCUUCACGGAAUGCGGAAUUUUGAAUCCCAAGGAAGAUAACAGCAGAAAACAUAGCACCUAUUGCAUUAUCCAAAUCUAUUGACCUUUUUCUGCAUUUUACAAUGAAGGUAUAAGUUAAAGUUGAUUUAGAGAAACGUAUGAAUUGGACUGACUUCCACUUACCUUCUAGUGCCGAGAUCCCAGAACAUUGUCCCAAGCAUCAAGGCUAUGCCAACUGUGAAAAGAAAUCUCACUGCAGUGUAUGGUGUGUUGCGCCAGUAUGACAACCGUUGUUUCCAUAAGUUUGCCAUGCGUUGGGUGAAGAAGGGUUGGCAGUAUUGAGUAGGGAAAUAGUGCUCCUUUGAACCGGGGGCAGGUUGGCUCAGUUUUUCAAUUAAAUCUUUGUUUCUCCUGAAACAUAUGCCACAUGUAAGAAAUGGCUUAAACAACAAAUUUAAGCUUUCAUGAGAAACCUAUAGUUGAAUCACCUGAAUAGGUCGGAAUUUUUGUAUAUUUCCUUGAAAUCAACCCCCAAAAAUACUUCUUGUGCUGUAGUGGUAACUUCCAACAUCCAAGUUGCAGGGUUAUAACUUUCUUUGAUUUUUACUGACUCCUUCAAUUCCCUUCACAAAAGGAAGUCAUAUGCAUCAGUAAGCACUUGAUAUGAAUUAACUCAAACUAAAGCAUCACUGCCAAUUAUUUUUGCUAUAUGCCAUGGCAACUUAACUCAAAAUACUUUAUCAAUUGGGAAGAAUGUCUACCCAGUGGUCCCACUUAUAUCUCUUGUCCUCCGUGCUUCAUCAGGAGCAACUGCACACCCAUUUUAAAUAAUUCAGUACUUAUCUGCCAAGGAUUAACAAGAGAAACCAUAAAUUAUUUCUGUCCACGAAAAAUUCCUACCUCAUCGAAGGCUUCAAAUAUGUCAAUACUUAGUUGAUGGAUGGUGCACACAACUGUUUUUCCUGUGUCCACUGUGUUCCUAACUGUUCUCAUAAUAAUUGCAGCAGCUCUUGCGUCUAGCCCUGAAGUUGCCUCAUCCAUGAAUAUUAUUGAAGGAUUUGCCACAACUCAACAGCAAUAGUUAGCCUCUUAUGCUGCUCAGUUGAGAGACCAUUCACACCUGGCAACCCAACCAGUGCUCCCUUCAAUGGGGUCAGUUCCAUGAGCUCCAUGACUUCGUCAAUGAACAUCUGUGACCACUAGCAAGGAUUAGAAAUUGUUUAAAAAACAAUGCAAAAUAAAAAAAAUAAAAAAGAAAAAAGAAAAAAUUCACACUGCUUGUGAUUCUUUUCUAAUAGCAGGUUGUGAACUUUGUCUUGUCUUGUUAAACCAAUCAGUUAAUUGAUGGAAAUGGCUCUUUUAUGCUUAAUAACACUUGCUUGCAUGAACUUCACCCAAUUGGAUUCUAGGACAAUGAAAUUUCGACCAACAUUUUUCCUUAGGUGAAGGUCAAGCCAAACUUGAACCUGAUCUUAGCCCAACCAAGUCAAGUUUGAAAAAUCAAUUCUAAAUAGGCUUAGCUUGUUGAGAGCGAUAAAUUGAAUAAGAAAAAUGUGGAAACAAGGAAACUCACCUUUCUGGCAGCAGAAUCCACAUCAGAAGGUAACCGCAGCCAAGCUGAGUAGACCAAGGACUCAUAGACAGUAACAUGAGGAGAGUGGAUAUCAUUCUGCGCACAGUAUCUAGAAAUUCGAGCAAAAGUUUCUUUCUUCUUUAGGUAGCCAGAAAUGGUGAUGUUACCCUCAAUAUAUCCACCAGUUUUCCGACCAGCCAGUACAUCCAUGAGAGUGAUUUUACCAGCACCGCUAACACCCAUCAGAGCUGUAAGAAC